rnacentral:lncRNA from 1 species
CUGGGAGUUGCUGUUUCAUAGAAAUGCCUGUUAAUUUUGCAGUUUGUGGGGUUUUGUAUUGCUGAAGGAAAUUAAGUGCAUGUAUGACAGUAAGAAUUAUUUGUUUGGCUGUUUUAACAUAAGUAAUGUUCUCCCAUCUUCAGCCAUCAGAAGUACAGAGCUAUUCUGAAGAAGGAGAAGAGAAAAAAAAAGAGGCAGGCACUUGCCAAACUACGGGACUCAGAAGCUGCAGAAAAAGAUGAAUCUGUGUCUGAGGAGGAAGAAGAGGAAGUGGAAGAAGAGGAGGAAGAAGAGGAAGAAAAGAAACUUGAGGCGGAAAGACAAAAACUACAUGAGCAGUGGUUGCUGAGAGAAGAAAAGGCCCAAGAAGAGUUCAAGCUAAAGAAGGAAAAAGAAGAGGCUGCAAGAAAACGUCAAGAAGAAGAAGAGGUAUAAAGAUGUGAAACCUUACUGUUGUGCUUGGCAACAAGGUAGACUUAGUGUAAUAACUUUAAUUAUUUUGU